rfam:Nicotiana attenuata strain TT chromosome 2, whole genome shotgun sequence.
AUACUUACCUGGACGGGGUCCAUGGCCUAGGUUGGUGACUUCCAUUGCACUUUGGAAGGGCGCCCGCCUAAGGUCGGCUCAAGUGGUCGAGCCUACGUCAUAAUUUGUGGCAGAGGGGGCUUGCGUUCGCGCGGCCCCUAC